GACGAACGCUGGCGGCGCGCCUAACACAUGCAAGUCGAACGAGUGAGAGAGAGCUUGCUUUCUCGAGCGAGUGGCGAACGGGUGAGUAACGCGUGAGGAACCUGCCUCAAAGAGGGGGACAACAGUUGGAAACGACUGCUAAUACCGCAUAAGCCCACAGCUCGGCAUCGAGCAGAGGGAAAAGGAGUGAUCCGCUUUGAGAUGGCCUCGCGUCCGAUUAGCUGGUUGGUGAGGUAACGGCCCACCAAGCCUUCGAUGGAUAGGGGUUCUGAGAGGAAGGUCCCCCACAUUGGAACUGAGACACGGUCCAAACUCCUACGGGAGGCAGCAGUGAGGAAUAUUGGUCAAUGGGCGUUAGCCUGAACCAGCCAAGUAGCGUGAAGGAUGAAGGCUCUAUGGGUCGUAAACUUCUUUUAUAUAAGAAUAAAGUGCAGUAUGUAUACUGUUUUGUAUGUAUUAUAUGAAUAAGGAUCGGCUAACUCCGUGCCAGCAGCCGCGGUAAUACGGAGGAUCCGAGCGUUAUCCGGAUUUAUUGGGUUUAAAGGGAGCGUAGGUGGACUGGUAAGUCAGUUGUGAAAGUUUGCGGCUCAACCGUAAAAUUGCAGUUGAUACCGUCAGUCUUGAGUACAGUAGAGGUGGGCGGAAUUCGUGGUGUAGCGGUGAAAUGCUUAGAUAUCACGAAGAACUCCGAUUGCGAAGGCAGCUCACUGGACUGCAACUGACACUGAUGCUCGAAAGUGUGGGUAUCANACAGG
rnacentral:rRNA from 1 species